rnacentral:misc_RNA from 1 species
GAUGAAGAACGAAGCGAAAUGCGAUAAGUAAUGUGAAUUGCAGAAUUCAGUGAAUCAUCGAAUCUUUGAACGCACAUUGCGCCCGCCAGCACUCUGGCGGGCAUGCCUGUUCGAGCGUCAUUUCAACCAUCAAGCCCCCAGGGGCUUGUGCUGGGGCCCUGCGGCUGCCCGCAGGCCCUGAAAACCAGUGGCGGGCUCGCUAGUCACACCGAGCGCAGUAGCACAUCUCGCUCAGGGCGUGCGGCGGGCUCCUGCCGUGAAACCCCCCACUGUAACCCCAAAGGUUGACCUCGGAUCAGGGAGGAAUACCCGCUGAACUUAAGCAUAUCAAUAAGCGGAGGA